GUGCCAGCCGCCGCGGUAAUACGGAGGAUGCGAGCGUUAUCCGGAUUUAUUGGGUUUAAAGGGUGCGUAGGCGGGCCAAUAAGUCAGUGGUGAAAACCUGCAGCUUAACUGUAGACUUGCCGUUGAUACUGUUGGUCUUGAGUAUGGUCAAGGUAGGCGGAAUGUGUAAUGUAGCGGUGAAAUGCUUAGAUAUUACACAGAACACCGAUUGCGAAGGCAGCUUGCUGGGCCAUUACUGACGCUGAUGCACGAAAGCGUGGGGAUCAAACAGGAUUAGAUACCCUGGUAGUCCACGCCGUAAACGAUGAUCACUCGCUGUUGGCGAUACACAGUCAGCGGCUAAGCAAAAGCAUUAAGUGAUCCACCUGGGGAGUACGGCCGCAAGGCUGAA
rnacentral:rRNA from 1 species